rnacentral:rRNA from 1 species
AUUGAACGCUGGCGGCAGGCCUAACACAUGCAAGUCGAACGAGUGGCGGACGGGUGAGUAAUGUAUGGGGAUCUGCACGAUAGAGGGGGAUAACUACUGGAAACGGUGGCUAAUAACGCAUACUAUCGGAUGAACCCAUAUGGGAUUAGAUAGUAGGUGGGGUAAAGGAUCACCUAGGCGCCGAGCUCUAGCUGGUCUGAGAGGAUGAUCAGCCACACUGGGACUGAGACACGGCCCAGACUCCUACGGGAGGCAGCAGUGGGGAAUAUUGCACAAUGGGCGCAAGCCUGAUGCAGCCAUGCCGCGUGUAUGAAGAAGGCCUUAGGGUUGUAAAGUACUUUCAGCGGGGAGGCGUUACCCGCAGAAGAAGCACCGGCUAACGACGUGCCAGCAGCCGCGGUAAUAC